rnacentral:rRNA from 1 species
GACGAACGCUGGCGGCGUGCUUAACACAUGCAAGUCGAACGAAGUGGCGAACGGGUGAGUAACGCGUAAUCAACCUGCCCUUCAGAGGGGGACAACAGUUGGAAACGACUGCUAAUACCGCAUACUGACGGAGGGGAUUGCGUGUGAUUAGCUAGUGGGGGGGGGAACGGCCCAACAAGGCGAUGAUCAGUAGCAGGGCGGAGAGGAUGAUCGGCCACAUUGGGACUGAGACACGGCCCAGACUCCUACGGGAGGCAGCAGUGGGGAAGCUUGGACAAUGGGCGAAAGCCUGAUCCAGCCAUGCCGCGUGUGUGAAGAAGGUCUUCGGAUUGUAAAGCACUUGAAGUUGGGAGGCGUUACCAACAGAAUAAGCACCGGCUAACUACGUGCCAGCAGCCGCGGUAAUUC